GGGCGAUUAGCUCAGUUGGGAGAGCACCUGCCUUACAAGCAGGGGGUCAGCAGUUCGAAUCUGUUAUCGCCCACCA
rnacentral:tRNA from 1 species